GGAGGCAACUCUGAACCAGCCAUGCCGCGUGCAGGAAGACUGCCCUAUGGGUUGUAAACUGCUUUUAUACAGGAAGAAACAGUCCUACGUGUAGGGCCUUGACGGUACUGUAAGAAUAAGCACCGGCUAACUCCGUGCCAGCAGCCGCGGUAAUACGGAGGGUGCAAGCGUUAUCCGGAAUCAUUGGGUUUAAAGGGUCCGCAGGCGGUCAAUUAAGUCAGAGGUGAAAUCCUAUAGCUUAACUAUAGAACUGCCUUUGAUCCUGGUUGACUUGAGUUAUACGGAAGUAGAUAGAAUAUGUAGUGUAGCGGUGAAAUGCAUAGAUAUUACAUAGAAUACCGAUUGCGAAGGCAGA
rnacentral:rRNA from 1 species